UUUCGCAAUGCCCGAAAGGGUGACGAAGCGACGCCGCGUGUGGGAAGAAGGCCUUCGGGUUGUAAACCACUGUCGGGAGUUAGGAAAUGUAAGGGUGUUAACAGCAUCCUUACUUGACUAAGGCUCCGGAGGAAGCCACGGCUAACUCUGUGCCAGCAGCCGCGGUAAUACAGAGGCGGCAAGCGUUGUUCGGAAUUAUUGGGCGUAAAGAGCACGUAGGCGGCCUUGUAAGUCAGUUGUGAAAGCCUUCUGCUUAACGGAAGAACAGCAUCUGAUACUGCAAGGCUAGAGUGCGGAAGGGGAGAGUGGAACUUCUGGUGGAGCGGUGAAAUGCGUAGAUAUCAGAAGGAACGCCGGCGGCGAAGGCGACUCUCUGGUCCGUAACUGACGCUGAGUGUGCGAAAGCUAGGGGAGCAAACGGGAUUAGAUACCCCGGUAGUCCUAGCCGUAAACGAUGGGCACUAAGUAGAGGGGUUUU
rnacentral:rRNA from 1 species